AAAGGCGCUUUCGGGUGUCGCUGAUGGAUGGACCCGCGGUGCAUUAGCUAGUUGGUGAGGUAACGGCUCACCAAGGCCACGAUGCAUAGCCGACCUGAGAGGGUGAUCGGCCACAUUGGGACUGAGACACGGCCCAAACUCCUACGGGAGGCAGCAGUAGGGAAUCUUCGGCAAUGGACGAAAGUCUGACCGAGCAACGCCGCGUGAGUGAAGAAGGUUUUCGGAUCGUAAAACUCUGUUGUUAGAGAAGAACAAGGAUGAGAGUAACUGUUCAUCCCUUGACGGUAUCUAACCAGAAAGCCACGGCUAACUACGUGCCAGCAGCCGCGGUAAUACGUAGGUGGCAAGCGUUGUCCGGAUUUAUUGGGCGUAAAGCGAGCGCAGGCGGUUUCUUAAGUCUGAUGUGAAAGCCCCCGGCUCAACCGGGGAGGGUCAUUGGAAACUGGGAGACUUGAGUGCAGAAGAGGAGAGUGGAAUUCCAUGUGUAGCGGUGAAAUGCGUAGAUAUAUGGAGGAACACCAGUGGCGAAGGCGGCUCUCUGGUCUGUAACUGACGCUGAGGCUCGAAAGCGUGGGGAGCAAACAGGAUUAGAUACCCUGGUAGUCCACGCCGUAAACGAUGAGUGCUAAGUGUUGGAGGGUUUCCGCCCUUCAGUGCUGCAGCUAACGCAUUAAGCACUCCGCCUGGGGAGUACGACCGCAAGGUUGAAAC
rnacentral:rRNA from 1 species